UACGUAGGGGGCAAGCGUUGUCCGGAAUUAUUGGGCGUAAAGCGCACGUAGGCGGCUUUCUAAGUCAGGGGUGAAAUCCUGGAGCUCAACUCCAGAACUGCCUUUGAUACUGGAGAGCUUGAGUCCGGGAGAGGUGAGUGGAACUCCGAGUGUAGAGGUGAAAUUCGUAGAUAUUCGGAAGAACACCAGUGGCGAAGGCGGCUCACUGGCCCGGUACUGACGCUGAUGUGCGAAAGCGUGGGGAGCAAACAGG
rnacentral:rRNA from 1 species